CACAACGGCUGCCGGCUAACCUACGUGCAAUGUGAUCGUUGGAUCUAACAGUGCACAUCAUACUCAGUUAGAUCCAAUGGUGGGAAACGAUUUGAUACAUUGAGGUAUUUUUUUGUUGGACCGGAGCAAAUCUCUUCCCAUUUUCUUUUGGAAAUCCCACAGAAAACUCAAGCCUAACUGGUUAGCUACCCUGUUGUCCCUGAUCAACUGACGUGUCAUUUGCUGUUAGCACUUUAUGAAUACUUACAAAAAGUCAGUAGGAUGUUUGGAAUGGACCUGAUACACAAUAACUUGAAUUUACACAAAGUGGUUAGCAAACCCUGGAAAUGCCCAACCUUGAAUCCUGAUGC
rnacentral:lncRNA from 1 species